rnacentral:rRNA from 1 species
GACAGAGGAUGCAAGCGUUAUCCGGAAUGAUUGGGCGUAAAGCGUCUGUAGGUGGCUUUUUAAGUCCGCCGUCAAAUCCCAGGGCUCAACCCUGGACAGGCGGUGGAAACUACCAAGCUGGAGUACGGUAGGGGCAGAGGGAAUUUCCGGUGGAGCGGUGAAAUGCGUAGAGAUCGGAAAGAACACCAACGGCGAAAGCACUUUACUGGGCUAUUACUGACACUGAGAGACGAAAGCUAAGGGUAGCAAAUGGGGAUUAAGAU